rnacentral:tRNA from 1 species
GGGCGGUUAGCUCAGUUGGUUAGAGUGCUAGCUUGACAUGCUAGAGGUCACCGGUUCGAUUCCAGUACCGCCCACCA